UACAGAGGGGGCAAGGCGUUAUUCGGAAUUAUUGGGCGUAAAGGGCGCGUAGGCGGCUUUUCAAGUGACGGGUGAAAUCCCUCGGCUUAACCGAGGAACUGCCUGUCAGACUGGAAGGCUUGAGACCGGGAGAGGUGAGUGGAAUUCCCAGUGUAGCGGUGAAAUGCGUAGAUAUUGGGAGGAACACCAGUGGCGAAGGCGGCUCACUGGACCGGAACUGACGCUGAGGCGCGAAAGCGUGGGGGAGCAAACAGG
rnacentral:rRNA from 1 species